AGAACUGGAACCCUAGCUCAUUAAACGAAACACAUCCAGACAGUGCUCUCGAUCUCCCUUCUCUCUCCUUCGUCUCCUUCGUGUAAAGAAGCCCUCCGACAACGCCGUUCUUCCCUCUCUGGCUUCUCCUCUCUCUGCCGGUUACCAUUUCUCUAGAAAAUCGAAAACAUGGUACCAGAAAGGCCGUGAAAGCUAGAUAGUCAGAUCGCUCAUUUAUAGAAAGAGAGAAAGAGAAAGCCACGACGCUCCACGAUCGGGUCUUGUGUUGAAGCAUUCUAUUGACGUUUGAUAGGUGCAAGCAUUUGAAAUUGAAUUAAAAAGGGUCGUUAGUCUCGAAGACUAGAGGGGGGCUUCAGUGAUUCCCAAAUCUGGAAAUUUAUUCUCUUUUCAAUUCCGGUCACUUAGGGUAAUAUUUUCAAUCUGAUUCUACUUUCAUCGAUAUAUUUCUGUUAAUUCCAUCUUCAACUUUGUUUUUACAAUUCAUUUGCUACGUGAUAAUUGAAUUGCUGGUUUUCUGUGCUAUUAACGCUUUCUUAUUGUUUCUCGUGUGAAGGUUUCUUCUUAUUUGUUUUUCUGAGCUGUUACCAGCUGGUUUCACAUAUCCUUUGCUAAGUUUUGUUUUUUACAGAACAUUUGAACUUGUGUUUGGUAGGUGAUGUUACUUUGCAAUUGGUUUGUUGGGUUUUGGUCAUUCAGAUUGCAGUUUUUGAGCUUGGGGACCAUUCUUGAUGCAGUUGUUGUUUACUAGUUAGUCUUAUUCUCCAUAUUCUUAUGUUCUUAGUUGGUGAAUUUGCUAGACUUGGUUCUGGAAGUUUUAGUGUUUUCUUUGUGUGUCUUGCUCAUUAAUCAUUAAGUUUAAUGAUUGAAUUUCCGUUAUUUGAAACAAUGGAAGCAGAAAUGGUAUCUCAAUAUGGAGUGAAAUUCUAACUUCUAAAGGUUCAUAUUUUCUAACUUUUACAAACCAGCUAGUAGUUUCAGAUUUUGUUCUACCUUUAUUUUUGGUAUCUUAUUUGUACAUGUCUUGAGAGUCAACAACUCCAUACACAAACUUUACCUCUACAUUCCUAUGUAACAAAAUGAAUCUAUCUAUGAACUCUACAAAGGAUGAUUUGGUGUAUCUGGCAUAUUUGAGUAAUCAGAAACCUCCAGUACCAGUGGGUGUAUGUCUGAUUUUGGAUUAUAUUGCUGAAACACUACAACAGAAGCAGAAGUGGAGAAAUAUAAAGAAGCCAAGUAGUUUCCAUAUUUGUUACAAGUUCAAACAGCUGGUACUUGAUGGUAUUAUAAAUAAAGAGAGAUCCACAAGCGCAUCUAUCUGUGUUGCUGGGAGUGAUCCUUCACUUGUGGAAUCUCCAACUGAGCCUAAGUGGUCCCCUGAUGGUAUGUAAAUUUGGCAUCUUCUUUAAUCCUGAAAAAGAACUUUACAUUUUAUGUUCGAGGUAAUUUUAUUGUGUAAGUGAAGGUUAUGUUCAUGCAUAUGAGAACCAUGCAUGUUCAGUAAUUGUAGGUAAUAUUAGACAAUUUUAAAGGAAUGAAAUAUUUAGCUAUAGUUGUUUCAAUUAGAGAAACAUCGUAAUUAUAAUUUUGAGUUUUUGAUACAUUCAAUUGACUAGUUGUUAGACUUCAAGGAAAAGGGCUUCUUAUCCAUAAUCAAUAUAAUUUUGUUGAUAAGUUAUAAAGAUUUUACAUUCCGAUUGGAAUAAUUGAGGCAUUGUAAAGAAGUCAUUGUGAAGAAGUCAUAUAAAAAUUAUUAAUAUCAUUAUUAUCCGGUUAAUAAUGAAAGUACACACUGCAUCUCAAUUUAAUACUUACAAGUUUCAACUUAUUUUUAUUAUUAGUGUGUGUCCCAUUUCUUAAUCUUGUGGUCAUCAACAAAUAAUUAAUUAAGCUUCCUUACUUAUUAUUAUUACUUACGGAUAAUAAUAUGCUUAAUUUAAUUAAUUAGAUAUAGUGGUAUUAUUAUUGUGUCUAAUAAUGUUGUUGCAUGAUGCACAAAUUUUAAUGCAGAUGUAUCGGACAGUGAAAACUACAGAUAGAGCAGCGGCUUCUUUAGAUUAGUGCAUAGUUUUUAAUUAAUUUACAUUUGAAGACAUAAUGUUUCACAUAAACUCACCAUCAACAAGGAGGUACUUGGCAACACGUAUCAAAGCAAAUUGCUAGAAGUGAUUAGGUGAGCCAUAUAACUCAUGUUUUUGAGAGGCAAGCUGAUGGAAGUGUGCCUGGAAGAAUUGGAUCAAGAGAGUGGGAUUUCAUCGCCAAAAGAGUUAGAAAGUAGAUCUUUUGAAGCGAAUAAUAGAGAAGCGUGAUUUUUUUAUGAUAGAGACUUGAUGUAUUAAGAGUUACAUAUUAAGACUUUCAAUACUUUUGUAUAGGAGUUAUUAUUUUUUAUUUUCAAUACUAAAAAAUUAUAUAUUAUGUUUAAUAUUUUA